AGUUGAGUGGAUUUAAGGCUGAGGUGCAUGUGAGACGUCCUUCACCUCGAGCCUGACUUUACGUGGUAUUCUGCGGAGGAUUGACUCUAGACCGAGUUGGGUGGAUAGCUUUGUAAAGGUAGAAAAAACCUUAUGAGUCAAUGGUAAAGGUAGAUGAAACCUUAUGAGCAGAUUGUAAAUGACAUGAAUCUAUGAUAGAGGAAAAACUUAGAUGUCAAUUGAAUGAGCUAUGGAUAGCGAAACAGAAAGUAGAAUUAGUAAAUCUACUUACUUCAUUGCAUAUUGAGUUGCAUGAUUUGCAUUGUUGGAUGUUGCGAGGCAUGAACAUGAUAAAUGUUAGUUGCAUAAAAUAUCCGGUACUGAACACUAAAAUCUGCAAUUUGCAGAUUUUGAUUUCGGAAACCCGUUCUCGCACCUAAUAAACUCCAGAAACAGGCCGACACUCAACCAACAACCCUCAAAACUUUCAAAAUAGCUCAAAAUACUAUUCUCAUACUAGAACCUUGAAAUUUGCUAAAGUUCAGUGUGCUACACAUAGAGUUACAUUUCUCCUAAGCAUGA
rnacentral:lncRNA from 1 species